AGCGAACGCUGGCGGCAGGCCUAACACAUGCAAGUCGAACGCCCCUUCGGGGGAGUGGCGGACGGGUGAGUAACACGCGGGAACGUACCUUUUGGUUCGGAACAACUGAGGGAAACUUCAGCUAAUACCGGAUAAGCCCUUUUGGGGAAAGAUUUAUCGCCGAAAGAUCGGCCCGCGUUGGAUUAGGUAGUUGGUGGGGUAAAGGCCUACCAAGCCUACGAUCCAUAGCUGGUCUGAGAGGAUGAUCAGCCACACUGGGACUGAGACACGGCCCAGACUCCUACGGGAGGCAGCAGUGGGGAAUCUUGCGCAAUGGUCGAAAGACUGACGCAGCCAUGCCGCGUGAAUGAUGAAGGUCUUAGGAUUGUAAAAUUCUUUUACCGGUGACGAUAAUGACGGUAACCGGAGAAAAAGCCCCGGCUAACUUCGUGCCAGCAGCCGCCGUAA
rnacentral:rRNA from 1 species